CCAGGGCGGUGGUUGUCCCGGGGUAAGGGUGUAGGCCGAGGGGUAGGCAAAUCCGUCCCUCGUUAAGGCUGAGACCUGAUGCCGAGCCGAUUGUGGUGAAGUGGAUGAUCCUAUGCUGUCGAGAAAAGCCUCUAGCGAGUUUCAUGGCGGCCCGUACCCUAAACCGACUCAGGUGGUCAGGUAGAGAAUACCGAGGCGUUCGGGUGAACUAUGGUUAAGGAACUCGGCAAAAUGCCCCCGUAACUUCGGGAGAAGGGGUGCUUCUUAGGGUGUUAAAGCCCCGAGAAGCCGCAGUGAAUAGGCC
rnacentral:rRNA from 1 species